rfam:Methanosaeta concilii GP-6, complete genome.
CAUGGCGGCCAGAGCGACAGGGAAACUCCUGAACCCAUUCCGAACUCAGAAGAUAAGCCUGUCCACGUUCUGCAUUGUACUUAGGUGCGCGAGCCCUCGGGAACUGUAGAUCGCUGCCAUGC